CCUUCCCUUCACCGACACAAACGUUCUGAUUCUUCCCCGCCAUUGCACUCCUCCACGAUUCUUCACGUCUCCGGUGGCCGUGGUGCUCGUGCUGUCUUGCGACACCAGGUUCUCCAUCAUCCUUCCCAUCUUUGCUUAUUUUUCAUGCUUCUACUCUGUUCUCGCGUUCACGUUCAAGUCGCCAGUGUGCGUGAGGAAUCCAAUCGCCGGAGCUGGUGGCGUGGGUUCAGUAAUCUCGUCUUCUCCUCUCCCUAUUAUGUUGGCAGUCUCUUGUUCUUUCCCUCCUCUGCUGUUAUAGGUGAUUAAGAUAGCAUAGUUGAUAAUCUACCUCUUUUUGACCUCCGAGGGGCUCAUUGCUGAAUUGAUGAGGAGACCUUUUGAGAAUGCCUUCCUUUUGAAGUAGAUAUUUAAUUAUGUGUUAUACUUUAAAAUUAUAAUUAGAUACUCUACGUUAACUAUAGAUAGAAUUAUGGUCUAUUAUCUAUUUGUCUAUCGAUUAUGGAGGAGCAGAGCUCCAUAUUUUUGAUUUAGAUUGUACAUUGAUGUUGUAAAUACUUUGGAAAGUUCUAUUUAUGAGAGGUUCUGUCAAAAUUUUUAUAAAAA